rnacentral:rRNA from 1 species
UUGGAGGGCAAGUCUGGUGCCAGCAGCCGCGGUAAUUCCAGCUCCAAUAGCGUAUAUUAAAGUUGUUGCAGUUAAAAAGCUCGUAGUUGAAUUUCGGGAUCAGUACGCUGGUCGUGCCUUCGGUAUGUACUGGUGUUACUGGUUCCUACCUUCUGACGAACCGUCAUGUCAUUAAUUUGGUGUGGCGGGGAAUCAGGACUGUUACUUUGAAAAAAUUAGAGUGUUUAAAGCAGGCUCGCGCUUGAAUACAUUAGCAUGGAAUAAUGAAAUAGGACGUUCGAUCCUAUUUUGUUGGUUUCUAGGAUUGACGUAAUGAUUAAUAGGGAUAGUUGGGGGCAUUAGUAUUCAAUUGUCAGAGGUGAAAUUCUUGGAUUUAUUGAAGACUAACUACUGCGAAAGCAUUUGCCAAGGAUGUUUUCAUUAAUCAAGAACGAAAGUUAGGGGAUCGAAGACGAUCAGAUACCGUCGUAGUCUUAACCAUAAACUAUGCCGACUAGGGAUCGGAUGAUGUUAAUUUUUUAAUGACUCAUUCGGCGCCUUACGGGAAA